rnacentral:misc_RNA from 1 species
ACUAUAUAUAAACUCGAUCUGUCCAACCACAUUCAAAGCCUCAGCCACCCCGUAUAGUGCCAACUGUGGUACAAACCACAUAGAGGACAUGUUUAACACAGCGUUCGGAUCAUCCUCAAACCCUGCGUUGAUUGCCUUAUUGCGUCGUAUGGUUUCUGUUAUAGCUGAAAGUGUCGUACCCACAAUGCCCAGAAAUAAGCCAAUCCCCAUUCUGGAAAAUGGACUUAUCCCAGUCGACAGUCCAGUAUACCUAGACAGUAAAGGAACCACUGCACGAUCGUAAAAAGCCAUCCAGAUUGUCAAAGAAAAAACGGUAAUCAUGCCGAAUGAUCCUGCUGGGAUUUCAAACUGAGGAGUAAUGUGUCUAUCCACGGUCAAUAGUUGAUAUAUCGAAAGUGGCUGACCGAACGACACAAGAAGCAUAAUACAGGUGGACCACAUGGGAAGAACUCUAAGAAAACACUUCAUUAUUUCGACUUGUUCCACAAAGCAGAGACUCCACGGAUCUGAAGCUUUUCCAUCAGGUUUCAACUCCACGUGAGGAUCUUCAAUUAUGCAAGCUCUAUUCAAACACCUGAAGUCAGUGGAUGGUUCGAGGAGCUUUGAUUCAGGUGCUUUAUAGUAGCAGUCGUCAUUAUAAUUCAACUGAACAUUAAUAUGUCUUUUUCUGAAGGCUGCGACUGCUACUUGAAAUAAUCCAGUGAACAAACUCCCUUCAGAUUUUGGUUUUAUAUAAAGAGGAGAUCCAAUUAAA